GGGCUAGUGGUCUAGUGGUAUGAUUUUCGCUUCGCAAUGUUGAGAUGACAGCAUGUGAAAGGUCCCCGGUUCAAUCCCGGGCUAGUCCA